rnacentral:rRNA from 1 species
UACGUAGGGUGCAAGCGUUUGUCCGGAAUUAUUGGGCGUAAAGAGCUCGUAGGCGGUUUGUCGCGUCUGCUGUGAAAACUCGGGGGCUUAACCCCGGGCCUGCAGUGGGUACGGGCAGACUAGAGUGCGGUAGGGGAGACUGGAAUUCCUGGUGUAGCGGUGAAAUGCGCAGAUAUCAGGAGGAACACCGGUGGCGAAGGCGGGUCUCUGGGCCGAUACUGACGCUGAGGAGCGAAAGCGUGGGGAGCGAACAGG